rnacentral:misc_RNA from 1 species
GAAAUGCGAUACUUGGUGUGAAUUGCAGAAUCACGUGAACGAUCGAGUCUUUGAACGCAAGUUGCGCCCGAGGCCUUUGGGUUGAGGGCACGCCUGCCUGGGCGUCACGCGUAGCAUCGAAUCGCACCAACCGCCCUCCUGGGCAGGGUGGGGCUUCGGAGAUUGGCUCCUCGUGCACUCAAGCGCGGUGGGUUUAAGAGACGGCUGACGGCUUGGACGGCACGACGGGUGGACUUGGUGCCAACAGGAUGUCGUGUCGCCGGUCGUCGAAGAGCCGAAGACACCCGGUUCGGACGUGCAGAUGCACUUCCAAUCGGGAGGGCUCGCCACCUCGCAACGUGACCCCAGGUCAG